rnacentral:rRNA from 1 species
GAUGAACGCUGGCGGCGUGCCUAAUACAUGCAAGUCGAGCGAAUGGAUUAAGAGCUUGCUCUUAUGAAGUUAGCGGCGGACGGGUGAGUAACACGUGGGUAACCUGCCCAUAAGGCUGGGAUAACUCCGGGAAACCGGGGCUAAUACCGGAUAAUAUUUUGAACUGCAUGGUUCAAAAUUGAAAGGCGGCUUCGGCUGUCACUUAUGGAUGGACCCGCGUCGCAUUAGCUAGUUGGUGAGGUAACGGCUCACCAAGGCAACGAUGCGUAGCCGAACUGAGAGGGUGAUCGGCCACACUGGGACUGAGACACGGCCCAGACUCCUACGGGAGGCAGCAGUAGGGAAUCUUCCGCAAUGGACGAAAGUCUGACGGAGCAACGCCGCGUGAGUGAUGAAGGCUUUCGGGUCGUAAAACUCUGUUGUUAGGGAAGAACAAGUGCUAGUUGAAUAAGCUGGCACCUUGACGGUACCUAACCAGAAAGCCACGGCUAACUACGUGCCAGCCGCCGCCGUAA